UCUCUCCUAGCUCAGUGGUAGAGCUGCUGAAUGUUAAUCAGCUGGUCGCGGGUUCAAUUCCUGCGGAGGGAG
rnacentral:tRNA from 1 species